rnacentral:rRNA from 1 species
GACGGAGGGUGCAAGCGUUAUCCGGAAUGAUUGGGCGUAAAGCGUCUGCAGGUGGCAGUUCAAGUCUGCUGUCAAAGACCGGGGCUUAACUUCGGAAAGGCAGUGGAAACUGAACAGCUAGAGUAUGGUAGGGGCAGAGGGAAUUCCUGGUGUAGCGGUGAAAUGCGUAGAGAUCAGGAAGAACAUCGGUGGCGAAGGCGCUCUGCUGGACCAUAACUGACACUCAGGGACGAAAGCUAGGGGAGCGAAUGGG